rnacentral:rRNA from 1 species
UUCGAUUCUGGCUCAGGACGAACGCUGGCGGCGUGCCUAACACAUGCAAGUCGAACGGAGAUAUUCGUAGCAAUAUGAGAUAUCUCAGUGGCGGACGGGUGAGUAACGCGUGAGUAACCUGGUUCCAAGAGGGGGAUAACCCAGAGAAAUCUGUGCUAAUACCGCAUAACGUACCGAGACGGCAUCGUCAUGGUACCAAAGGAGAAAUCCGCCUGGAAAUGGACUCGCGUCCGAUUAGAUAGUUGGUGAGGUAACGGCCCACCAAGUCUGCGAUCGGUAGCCGGACUGAGAGGUUGAACGGCCACAUUGGGACUGAGAUACGGCCCAGACUCCUACGGGAGGCAGCAGUGAGGGAUAUUAGGCAAUGGGGGAAACCCUGACCUAGCAACGCCGCGUGAAGGAAUAAGGUCUUCGGAUUGUAAACUUCUUUGACGAGGGACGAUAAUGACGGUACCUCGAAAACAAGCCACGGCUAACUACGUGCCAGCAGCAGC